UACGGAGGGGACUAGCGUUGUUCGGAAUUACUGGGCGUAAAGCGCACGUAGGCGGCUUUGUAAGUCAGGGGUGAAAUCCCGGGGCUCAACCCCGGAACUGCCUUUGAUACUGCGAAUCUCGAGUCCGGAAGAGGUGAGUGGAAUUCCUAGUGUAGAGGUGAAAUUCGUAGAUAUUCGGAAGAACACCAGUGGCGAAGGCGGCUCACUGGACUGGUAUUGACGCUGAGGUGCGAAAGCGUGGGGAGCAAACAGG
rnacentral:rRNA from 1 species